UGGGGAAUAUUGCACAAUGGGCGCAAGCCUGAUGCAGCCAUGCCGCGUGUGUGAAGAAGGCCUUCGGGUUGUAAAGCACUUUCAGCGGGGAGGAAGGCGGUGAGGUUAAUAACCUCAUCGAUUGACGUUACCCGCAGAAGAAGCACCGGCUAACUCCGUGCCAGCAGCCGCGGUAAUACGGAGGGUGCAAGCGUUAAUCGGAAUUACUGGGCGUAAAGCGCACGCAGGCGGUCUGUCAAGUCGGAUGUGAAAUCCCCGGGCUCAACCUGGGAACUGCAUUCGAAACUGGCAGGCUAGAGUCUUGUAGAGGGGGGUAGAAUUCCAGGUGUAGCGGUGAAAUGCGUAGAGAUCUGGAGGAAUACCGGUGGCGAAGGCGGCCCCCUGGACAAAGACUGACGCUCAGGUGCGAAAGCGUGUGGAGCAAACAGG
rnacentral:rRNA from 1 species